rnacentral:rRNA from 1 species
AGACGGGACCGCACAAGCGGUGGAUGAUGUGGAUUAAUUCGAUGCAACGCGAAAACCUUACCUACCCUUGACAUGUCCGGAAUCCGAAGAGAUUUGGGAGUGCUCGCAAGAGAGCCGGAACACAGGUGCUGCAUGGCUGUCGUCAGCUCGUGUCGUGAGAUGUUGGGUUAAGUCCCGCAACGAGCGCAACCCUUGUCAUUAGUUGCCAUCAUUUGGUUGGGCACUCUAAUGAGACUGCCGGUGACAAACCGGAGGAAGGUGGGGAUGACGUCAAGUCCUCAUGGCCCUUAUGGGUAGGGCUUCACACGUCAUACAAUGGUCGGUACAGAGGGUUGCCAACCCGCGAGGGGGAGCUAAUCCCACAAAGCCGAUCGUAGUCCGGAUCGCAGUCUGCAACUCGACUGCGUGAAGUCGGAAUCGCUAGUAAUCGUGGAUCAGCAUGUCACGGUGAAUACGUUCCCGGGUCUU